rnacentral:lncRNA from 1 species
AUAAUAAUUGUUGUCCACACUCUAAAAAGUAUAUUUUUUCAAAAGUUGAAGUAAAGUACUGUUUUGAAUAAGUCUGAUUCAGAUUUCUGCUUUAGCGACGGCAAUUUACUUUUGUGUAUUAUAUCAAAUAUAAAUUGUACUUUAUUACAUUGACCUGCUAUAGGCCUAUGUCACGGAACAAUUGAAGACCGGAAGAAGCUCGCGGAGUAGGGUAACUGCUCUUCCGCUUAGCUUAGCUAAGCUGUUUACCAUGGCGGAGGCAGAUCAAUACCUUUGGACCAAGUCUCUCCAACCUACCUAAAUUGUCCUACGACGACGUCCUAAGGAUAGUAAAUCAGCACUUACGUGUCGAAACAUCUAAACUACGCAAAGGAUAUAAGUUAUUCUGGGAGAAGUACAUUUUUAAUUACAUAGGUAAGUGUUUCAAAUCUGUUGACACUGUGUAGCUUGACUGUGACAGAUAGCACUAAGUGUAAUACAUGUCAGUUAAAACGUAUCCUUUUUAAUUAAUCGCAAAAUAUUUUUUUACACUGGUAGGAAUACAUAUUUAGUUUGAGUGUCUCUGAAACUUUGCCUGACGAACCCCAAGAGGUUUGGUAUAGGUAGGUAGCCACUGCCUACCGUACAUGUAAGUGUCGAUAGUAUGUCAGAUUAGCUCCAGGCUACUGUCAGAACAUAGUGGCUGGGUGGCUGUCAUAAACUACCAAUGCCCAUACAUUUUGCUGUAUGGUGUGUUAAUCUUUCCCUCUUACUGCAGUGUCAGAUUUAGUUAAUUUGGAAGUAGCAGUUCGGGCGAACUGCUACUGUUCCCAGAAGAAAAACGCUUUUCAUAGUCUUUUGUGAAUCAAUGGGACUGUUACUUAGGCCUACCUUUCUGACCACUUUAAUUAGAUUUACAUUUUGUGAUUCAAACAACAGGCCCACCUCGUAAUAUGUAGCAUAAUGGAUAGCCUAGAGCAUGGUUUCAGACCUUCACAGAUUCAGUUGCAUGUUCAGUCUGUGUGUUUUUUAUUAUUAUGGUUUCUUGUUGCUGUUCCAAAAUGCUCUCUCUUUCUCCAGAUCUGCUGUUGCAGAUGAUAAUGUUUUGUUUCAUGUCUGCUGUUGCAGAUUGUCAUGUUUUGUUUUAUAUCUGCUCUUCCAGACACAUGACAACCACUUCACAGGGGAGAAAAGCGUGCCAACACCUCUGUCGUGCACCAGUGUUCUGCAGACGUGGACCAAGGACACAGGGGAUUCGCCCGGAACCCAUUGACCAACUUAUGGUCAGGAAACCCAAGGUUUGGGUUAGGUGUUUUAUUUGAGCACAUACAUGGACACAUACCUCCUGAAUGCCAAGUAAAUAUGGCCGAGGGAUACACACACCCCAUUCCAUUUAUUUAUUUCUGUUAAAUGUAUAUAUGUAAAUAUUUUAAUCAAAGAAUUGGAAACGAACAUUCCUGAACAUUUGUUUUAAGGUAACACACUCUGAGCACCUUUAAAACAAGCCUGAAGACUUUUAUGUUUGCAUUAGCUUUCUGCUACAUCUUAAAUACAUUGCACUUUCUAAAAAGCUUUUUUAACUUUGCCUUUAUUUUCUAUUUUAAUACUAAAAUGCCUUUAACUUUCUAUUUUACUCAUUUCUCUGCAUAUGUUUUCUUUUACUUAUCUAUUUUAUUGUAUGACAAUGUUUAUAUGUGAAGCACUUUGAGUCUUCCCUUGUGUAUGAAAAGUGCUAAAUAAAGUUGCCUUGCCUAACACACAGAACAUUUCAUUUCUUUCUGUUAAAUGUAAAUAUGUAUAUAUGUAAAUUUAAAAAAAAGAACUGGAAACAAACAUUAAAUAAACAUUUGAAAAGGACGGACGGACACAAACACACACACCAUUUUAAUUUCUUUCUGCUAAAUGUAAACAAAGAACAUUAAUAAACGUUUGAAAAUAGUCAUGUGACGUCAUGUGUGUUUUAAUGUGUAACACUGGGACAUCACCCUUAACAUCUAAAGGACCUUGAUAGUUAGACAUCAAGCAAGAAUUUACCCACAGCUGAUUGACAGAGACUGAAAGAGUCAGAGGAAUGGUUGUGCCCAGAUAUGAUAUUCUUUGACCCUUCUGAUGGCCCUCUCCAAGAUUCUAAGUUGGGCGAUACUCACUGGUUAACCUGGUGCCUCUUUUAAAUGGCGGCAUUAUGAGGGUGGCCCCAACUUCAGAAAGCAUCUUGUCGAUAACAAAGCCUUUGUCAGCCAUGCAUGCAUCUCCUGGCUGAAGUAGACUAAGGAUUCCUGACUGCUGUGUGAUUUCUCUAUCUGAUAUGGAACCAGUGUACAGCUUAUAAAUUAGCUUAGAAAUGAAGGUGAUAACUCCACGUGAAGCAAUGCCAAUCAGACCUUUGAAGGUGUUGGUAUUCUUGUAGUGGGAGAAUGUUUCAGACUGGAGGGUGAGUGAUGAGGGUGCCUCACACCUGAUUUCUGUGCCGUCUAGAAUCACUCGCACGUUAGGACAGUACUGGGCAAAAAAAUAUCUCAACCAAGAUUUAUUUUGUCCUUCGGGAAAGCGUGGAAGCUGAGGUAUGGCUGUAUACGUCCUGAUGUAGAGCAACACGGUACAACAAGAACAACUGCGAAAGGGAGCUGCCAUUGUUGUUGCUGCUGGACGCGACCGGAAGUUGGAUUACCCUACUACGCGUUCCGGAAGCAGGAAGUGUGACAUAGGCCUAUUCUUAUGCAAAUGAAAGCGCUUCAAUUAGGUUUCCCUGUCUAACGUCAUGACGUGGACGUUUAUUUGUUGAACUUCAACGUCUUUUCCAGCCAGAUUUCUGUAGCUGAAGCUGAUAUUUUUUCUCCUCGUCAAUCUCAUCAUCCACGCGGUAAAGGUCACUCUGAAAAACCGUACGUUUAAUGUAGACAAAGUCAUGUGUUACAAAUUGUAUUUGUCAGAUAACAAAUGUUCUGCCUGUAUUGGUCAAAAAAUGUACGUCUUAAGGGUUAACUUUAGUUUACGAACUGAACCAGACCAGUGCCAUGCCGUAAUUCCGACGCCUCAUUGUUCCGACGUCUCAAUGGUCCGAAAUAUUUCCCAUUAGAUCGACAUGCCACUAUGCCGACGGUUAAAUUUUACGAAAACGGAACCCAGUGUUCCGAAGGCCCGUUUGUCCGAUAAAUCAAACAAGAGGCGCAUUAUAGGCCGACGGUUCAAUAUGCCGAAUAGGCCUACAUAACCGUUGGCCUAAUGCGCCUUUCCAAUGGGAAAUAUUUCGGACCAUUGAGACGUCGGAGCAAUGAGGUGUCGGAAUUAGGGUUAUCUUUAGGUUAGAUUAACAUGUUCGAUGCAUUUAACGGAUUUUGUGAAAAGUGUUAUAUGUUCAAACCACUGGUGUGCUAAAGGUAAUGGCAUUAAAAAUUAUAGUGAUCGUUAUGCUAUUAACUGAUCAGUAGCAGCAGCGCUCUGAUGCUAUUUCAUUUAGCAUUUUGCUAAAUGAAUGACUUGUGCAAGUAACUUCAACGCGGGGCUCUCGUGGUGUAAUACUGUUACUGAAAGUAGUCUAAAGUUAACGUAUGUCAUACUGUGUACUGGUUAAGCUGCUUAUUUGCACAUUAACACGGAUACAUUUAGGCUUACAUGUGUUUGCAACUGUGCUACGCUCGCUCUCCGUUCUGUUAAGAUGUGUGUGGGGGUGGGUGUUUGGGUGUUUUACUGCCGCCACCGUCUCCGUUUACGUAUUUAGUGAGACACAGGCGACGAGAGAGGGUGCAUGUCGUUCUCAUGAAGCACAGUGGUGAGUCCGGCCGCUAAUUAAACAACACCACUGUUCUGCUGCUAUUCCUUUUAAAAAAAUUGUCAGUUUGCUAGCGGAGAGUUGGAGUAAACCUUUGGUUAGUAACCUUGUGCAAGGUAGUCUUGUGGUGUAAUACCGUUACUGAAAGUAAACGUAAGUCAUGUAGUUUACUGGUUAUGCCGCUUAUUUGCACAUCAGCGUGGAUACUUAAAGGCAUUUAUUUUACGGUCAAUGUGGUUACCCCCUAUAAGAAGAGUAUCCCCGGCCGCGGGAGCACGCAUAGUGCAGGUGGAAGCACACAGACACUACGGUUC